AUUGAAGGGGUGAAUACAACAUAUUUGUACAUUCUACGAUGUGCUGAUGUUUUAUUUCAGAAUCAACUACUGCAGAUGUGACCUCUAGAGUGACCUCUAGUGUGACCUCUAGUGUGACCUCUAGAGUGACCUCUAGUGUGACCUCUAGAGUGACCUCUAGUGUGACCUCUAGUGUGACCUCUAGUGUGACCUCUAGUUUGACCUCUGCAGUGACCAGCAGCACGCAGACAUCAGAAUGUGUGUGUUCAGUGUCUGUGGUGUUUGUUGUGGUCUGGUGUCUUCAGCUGAUGUUUCUGUUCGGUCUGUUAGGAGCUUUUCACAUCUACAUGAGACACACAUCAGG